CGCCGCGUGAGUGAAGAAGGCUUUCGGGUCGUAAAACUCUGUUGUUGGAGAAGAAUGGUCGGCAGAGUAACUGUUGUCGGCGUGACGGUAUCCAACCAGAAAGCCACGGCUAACUACGUGCCAGCAGCCGCGGUAAUACGUAGGUGGCAAGCGUUAUCCGGAUUUAUUGGGCGUAAAGCGAGCGCAGGCGGUUUUUUAAGUCUGAUGUGAAAGCCCUCGGCUUAACCGAGGAAGCGCAUCGGAAACUGGGAAACUUGAGUGCAGAAGAGGACAGUGGAACUCCAUGUGUAGCGGUG
rnacentral:rRNA from 1 species